AAUUCGGCACUGGGCUUUUCGCUCGCCACUACUGAGGGAAUCCUUGUUAGUUUCUUUUCCUCCGUUUAGUAAUAUGCUUAAGUUCAGCGGGAACUCCAACCUGAUUUGAUGUCAAAGA